rnacentral:rRNA from 1 species
UACGGAGGGUGCGAGCGUUGUUCGGAAUCACUGGGCGUAAAGGGCGUGUAGGCGGCUCGGUAAGUCUGCUGUGAAAGUCCAGGGCUCAACCCUGGGAUGCCGGUGGAUACUGUCGAGCUCGAGUCCGGAAGAGGCGAGUGGAAUUCCUGGUGUAGCGGUGAAAUGCGCAGAUAUCAGGAGGAACACCAAUGGCGAAGGCAGCUCGCUGGGACGUGACUGACGCUGAGACGCGAAAGCGUGGGGAGCAAACAGG